CUUGACUCACUGCAACCUCUGCCUCCCAAGCUUAAGCGAUUCUCCUGCCUCAGCCUCCCGAACAGCUGGGAUUACAGAAAUGGGUGUCUCACUGUGUUGCCCAGGCUGUUCUCCAACUCCUGUGCUCAAGCAAUCCUGCUACCUCAGCCUCCCAAGUGCUGGAAUUACAGGGUGCUGUACUAGCCACCAUGGAGACACAGAGAUGAACGAGACAUCGGGAUGCUGAUGAUUAAGAUAUGCACACACCCACAGCACAGUAUCAAAUACACCUUUCAGCCUGGAAAGCCACCACCUGCUUGCCUACUGGUGACCUGAAGAACCUGCAGUGGCUCCCUGUUGCUUAUCAGA